UAUUAUACUGAUAAAUAUAAUUAAACCUAAACUAUUAAUAGAUAUAUUCUUUAAAUUUGAAGAAUUUGGCGGUGAUUUAAUCUUGUUAGAGGAACCUGUUUUUGAAUCGAUACACCACGAAGAAUCUUACUUGUCUUACAUAGUCUGUAUACCGUCAUUAUCAGAUAAUUCCUACAGGAUGAAAUUGUUAAAGUUUAAGAAAUUAAGUUAAAUUAGAUCAAGGUGCAGCUUAUAGAUAAGUUAAAAUGGGUUACAAUAAAAUUUAUUUAUUAUGGAGCAAAAUAAGAAAAAAAUUGUGAAGGAGGAUUUAAUUGUAAUAUAAGUUUAAUAAGUUUAAAAGAUAUAAGCUCUAAAUCAU
rnacentral:rRNA from 2 species